AACGAACGCUGGCGGCAUGCCUAACACAUGCAAGUCGAACGAGACCUUCGGGUCUAGUGGCGCACGGGUUCGUAACGCGUGGGAACCUUCCCUUAUGUUCGGAAUAACUCCCCGAAAGGGGUGCUAAUACCGGAUAAUGUCUUCGGACCAAAGAUUUAUCGCCUUUGGAUGGGCCCGCGUUGGAUUAGCUAGUUGGUAGGGUAAAAGCCUACCAAGGCGACGAUCCAUAGCUGGUCUGAGAGGAUGAUCAGCCACACUGGGACUGAGACACGGCCCAGACUCCUACGGGAGGCAGCAGUGGGGAAUAGUGGACAAUGGGCGAAAGCCUGAUCCAGCAAUGCCGCGUGAGUGAUGAAGGCCUUAGGGUUGUAAAGCUCUUUUACCCGGGAUGAUAAUGACAGUACCGGGAGAAUAAGCCCCGGCUAACUCCGUG
rnacentral:rRNA from 1 species